rnacentral:rRNA from 1 species
GACGAACGCUGGCGGCGUGCUUAACACAUGCAAGUCGAACGAAGUGGCGAACGGGUGAGUAAUACGUGAGUAACCUGCCCUCCUUUUUGGGAUAAGCCUUGGAAACGGGGUCUAAUACCCGCUAAAGGGGGAUGGGCUCGCGGCCUAUCGGCUUGUUGGUGGGGUGAUGGCCUACCAAGGCCGUGCCGGGUAGCCGGCAUGAGGGGGGGAACGGGAACAGUGGGACGGAGCAGACGCCCAGGCGACUAAGGGGGGGAGCAGAGUGGGCUAUGGGAGAAUGGCCGAAGGAGUGAUGCAGCGUCGAUGAGGAGGGGAUGAAGGUUUUAGAGUUGUAAAAGUGGGGAGCUAGCGAACGGGUAGGUGGAGAAGAAGCGCCGGCUAACUACGUGCCAGCAGCCGCGGUAAUAC